AUUGAACGCUGGCGGCAGGCCUAACACAUGCAAGUCGAACGAGUGGCGGACGGGUGAGUAAUGUCUGGGAAACUGCCUGAUGGAGGGGGAUAACUACUGGAAACGGUCGCUAAUACCGCAUACCAUCGGAUGUGCCCAGAUGGGAUUAGCUAGUAGGUGGGGUAAAGGCUCACCUAGGGGACGAUCCCUAGCUGGUCUGAGAGGAUGACGAGCCACACUGGAGCUUAAACACGGUCCAGACUACUACGGGCGGGAGCAGGGGGGAAUAUUGCACAAUGGGCGCAAGCCUGAUGCAGCCAUGCCGCGUGUAUGAAGAAGGCCUUCGGGUUGUAAAGUACUUUCAGCGGGGAGGCGUUACCCGCAGAAGAAGCACCGGCUAACUCCGUGCCAGCAGCCGCGGUAAUUC
rnacentral:rRNA from 1 species